UUGUGAGUUGUGACCUAACCCUAAAUCCCUCAUUACGGCGCUCCUCAGUCCUCACCUCUUUCACUCUCUGAAGUCUGAACUCUGGACUCUCCUCUCAAUCUCAGAUCCUCACUCACUUACUCAGACUCUCAAACUCUGGCUCUCCUUCUCCUCUCUGAUCGACUCUGCCUUGCUCUAUCACCAGUGUUCGCUGUCCAUCACCGUCUCCUAAGGUCAUUAUUUACUGUUCUUCCAGGCUCCAGCUGCACGGUCGUCGCCUCCUCCAUCGACGCGGUGGACGGCGGUCGCGUCGUUCUCCAUAGGCGUUCUUCAUAGGUCGCGUUCUUCACUGGCGCAGCGCUCACGGUCGGUGGUCUCCUCCAGUAGUGCGGUCACCUCCUCCAGCACUCACGGUCACAUUCAUCAUUUCUUGUUCUCUCCAAGCAGCUUCGUGAAUCUGUCAGAGUCAAACCAGCCGUCCUUCUUCUCCAUCAUUUUUGCUCUCGGCUCUUCAACUGAUUAGAUAUGGCACUGAGGGUUUAUAUGGUUUAAAGGUUUAAUUGUUU